AUUGAACGCUGGCGGCAGGCCUAACCCAUGCAAGUCGAGCGGAGCGGCGGACGGGUGAGUAAUGCCUAGGAAGCUGCCUGGUAGUGGGGGAUAACGUCCGGAAACGGGCGCUAAUACCGCAUCUUCUCAGAUGAGCCUAGGUCGGAUUAGCUAGGUGGGGGGGUAAAGGCCUACCAAGGCGACGAUCCGUACCUGGUCUGAGAGGAUGAUCAGUCACACUGGAACUGAGACACGGGCCAGACUCCUACGGGAGGCAGCAGUGGGGAAUAUUGGACAAUGGGCGAAAGCCUGAUCCAGCCAUGCCGCGUGUGUGAAGAAGGUCUUAGGAUUGUAAAGCACUUUAAGUUGGGAGGCGUUACCAGCAGAAUAAGCACCGGCUAACUUCGUGCCAGCCGCCGCGGUAAUUC
rnacentral:rRNA from 1 species